AGAGUUUGAUCAUGGCUCAGAGCGAACGCUGGCGGCAGGCUUAAUACAUGCAAGUCGAGCGCCUGUAGCAAUACAGGAGCGGCAGACGGGAGAGUAACACGUGGGAACGUGCCCUUUGGUUCGGAACAACACAGGGAAACUUGUGCUAAUACCGGAUAAGCCCUUACGGGGAAAGAUUUAUCGCCAAAGGAUCGGCCCGCGUCUGAUUAGCUAGUUGGUGAGGUAAUGGCUCACCAAGGCGACGAUCAGUAGCUGGUCUGAGAGGAUGAUCAGCCUCAUUGGGACUGAGACACGGCCCAAACUCCUACGGGAGGCAGCAGUAGGGAAUAUUGGACAAUGGGCGCAAGCCUGAUCCAGCCAUGCCGCGUGAGUGAUGAAGGCCUUAGGGUUGUAAAGCUCUUUCGGCGGGGAAGAUAAUGACGGUACCCGCAUAAGAAGCCCCGGCUAACUUCGUGCCAGCAGCCGCGGUAAUACGAAGGGGGCUAGCGUUGCUCGGAAUCACUGGGCGUAAAGCGCACGUAGGCGGACUCUUAAGUCAGGGGUGAAAUCCUGGAGCUCAACUCCAGAACUGCCUUUGAUACUGGGAGCCUUGAGUUCGGGAGAGGUGAGUGGAACUGCGAGUGUAGAGGUGAAAUUCGUAGAUAUUCGCAAGAACACCAGUGGCGAAGGCGGCUCACUGGCCCGAUACUGACGCUGAGGUGCGAAAGCGUGGGGAGCAAACAGGAUUAGAUACCCUGGUAGUCCACGCUGUAAACGAUGGAUGCUAGCCGUUGGCGGGUUUACUCGUCAGUGGCGCAGCUAACGCAUUAAGCAUCCCGCCUGGGGAGUACGGUCGCAAGAUUAAAACUCAAAGGAAUUGACGG
rnacentral:rRNA from 1 species